UAGCAGGAUGUUUUGGAUUCAGGUCUC
rnacentral:piRNA from 1 species